rnacentral:tRNA from 1 species
GAGGGUAUAGCUCAAGUGAUAGAGCAUGUGCUUAGCAUGCACAAGGUCCUGGGUUCAAUCCCCAGUACCUCCU